rnacentral:rRNA from 1 species
GAUGAACGCUGGCGGCGUGCCUAAUACAUGCAAGUCGAGCGGACAGACGAGGAGCUUGCGCCUCUGACGUUACCGACGGGCGGGUAAGUAACACGUGGAUAACCUACCUAUAAGACUGAGGUAACUUCGGGAGAGCGGAGCUCAUACCAGAUGAUAUAUUGAACGGCAUGGUUGAAUAGUGAAAGAGGGUUUUGCUGUCACUUCUAGCUAUAUCCGCGCCGGUUGAGUAAGUUGGUAAGGUAACGGCUUACCAAGGCAGGGAUGCGUAGCCGACCUGAGAGGGUGUACGGGCACACUGGAGCUGAGACACGGCCCAGACUCCGACGGGAGGCAGCAGUAGCGAAUCUUCCGCGAUGGGCGAAAGCCUGACCGAGCAACGCCGCGUGGGUGAUGAAGGUCUUCGUAUCGUAAAACUCUGUUAUUAUUGAAGAACAAAUUUGUAAGUAACGAUGCACGUUUUGACGGUACCUAAUCAGAAAGCCCCGGCUAACUACGUG